GUUAAUCAUCAAAUCUUUGAACGCAAAUUGCACUCCCUGGUAUUCCGGAGAGUAUGCCUGUAUGAGUGUCGAUAAAAUAAAAAAUCGAUAUGUCGCUCUUUUCUUUAGGGACAUCGCGUCGUAAUUGAGCCAUCUUUCAAAUGUUAAUUCUUGUCAACUUGGCUUAAAAUUCAUUCAUCCGGUACGCUUAAAACGUAUAUAAGAACAAUUUUGUUCAAGAACGCGCAAUGACGGACCAACUCAUGUAGUACGUUUGACCUU
rnacentral:misc_RNA from 1 species